GGGGGUCAAAUGAUGACUAGUACCAUAGUUCACAUGAAAUUAUUUGUGAUUAUAAAACUACUCUAGUCUUUCGCUCCUAUCUGAUGACUCUC
rfam:Nicotiana sylvestris Nsyl_contig202393, whole genome shotgun sequence.